AGAGUUUGAUCCUGGCUCAGGACAAACGCCAACGGUGCGCCUAAUACAUGCAAGUCGAACGAGCGAUGUAGAAGUGGCAACACUUUUACAAAGCUAGUGGCGAACGGGUGAGUAACGCGUAGGUAAUCUGCCUUGGAGAUUGGGACAACCAUUCGAAAGAAUGGCUAAUACCAAAUACCUUAUAUUAAUCGCAUGAUUUUUAUAAUAAAGGGGGGCUUUUAGCUCUCGCUUCAAGAUGAACCUGCGUCCUAUUAGCUUGUUGGUGAGGUAGAAGCUCACCAAGGCAACGAUGGGUAGCCGGCCUGAGAGGGUGAUCGGCCACACUGGGACUGAGAUACGGCCCAGACUCCUACGGGAGGCAGCAGUAGGGAAUCUUGCGCAAUGGGCGAAAGCCUGACGCAGCGACACCGUGUGAAGGAUGAAGGCCUUCGGGUCGUAAACUUCUGUAAUUGGGGACGAAGGUAGUAGAGUUAAUACCUUGAAUACUGACGGUACCCAAUAAGGAAGUCUCGGCUAACUCCGUGCCAGCAGCCGCGGUAAGACGGAGGAGGCAAGCGUUGUCCGGAAUCAUUGGGCGUAAAGAGCGCGUAGGCUGUUUUUCAAGUCAUUUGUGAAAACCUCAGGCUUAACUUGAGGACUGCAUAUGAAACUGAAAAACUUGAGUGCAGUAGGGGAAAGUGGAAUUCCUGGUGUAGCGGUGAAAUGCGCAGAUAUCAGGAAGAACACCGGUAGCGAAGGCGGCUUUCUGGGCUGCUACUGACGCUGAGGCGCGAAAGCUAGGGGAGCAAACAGGAUUAGAUACCCUGGUAGUCCUAGCUGUAAACGAUGGACACUAGGUGUGGGGAGUUAUCGACGCUUUCCGUGCCGGAGCUAACGCAUUAAGUGUCCCGCCUGGGGAGUACGGUCGCAAGACUAAAACUCAAAGGAAUUGACGGGGGCCCGCACAAGCGGCGGAGCAUGUGGCUUAAUUCGACGCAACGCGAAGAACCUUACCAAGGCUUGACAUCAUAUUGACGAUUAUAGAAAUAUAAUUUCUCUUCGGAGCAAUAUGACAGGUGGUGCAUGGCUGUCGUCAGCUCGUGUCGUGAGAUGUUGGGUUAAGUCCCGCAACGAGCGCAACCCUUGUCCCAUGUUGCUAACAGUUCGGCUGAGCACUCUUGGGAAACUGCCAGCGUAAAGCUGGAGGAAGGUGGGGAUGACGUCAAGUCAUCAUGCCCUUUAUGCCUUGGGCCGCACACGUGCUACAAUGGACCGUACAAAGAGCAGCGAAACUGUGAAGUGGAGCAAAUCUGGUAAAGCGGUUCAAAGUCCGGAUUGAAGGCUGAAAUUCGCCUUCAUGAAGUAGGAGUCGCUAGUAAUCGUGGAUCAGAACGCCACGGUGAAUACGUUCCCGGGCCUUGUACACACCGCCCGUCACACCACGAAAGUUGGAUACACCCAAAGAUAGUAUACUAACCGGCAACGGGGGAAACUAUUUAAGGUGGAGCCAGUGAUUGGGGUGAAGUCGUAACAAGGUA
rnacentral:rRNA from 1 species